CUUGCCGUAGCUGGGACUCCGUGAAGGGCCACAAGCACUGCUUGUAGUUAAUCUCGUGGUGUCCGCUGAGGUGGUCGGACACGUGGGAUCAGGCUAACCAUCAUCAGCAGAGUUGAAGUUCUACAGUUCUUCAUUCUUAUUGAAGACCAGUAUUUGGAUUAGUGAUGCUUUGCUGUUGACUCGGGAUCUGGCUAAACUGGAAAAGGCAUUGAAAUCCUCCAUGAGGAAGAUAGAUUUAGAACUUCGUGAUUGAGAUUGAUGGCAAAUGUGUUGGAUCGACAACCGAAUCAAUUGGUCCCAGCAUCCUCAGUAUUUUUAUGAUAUUCUGGACAACAGUGUAACAGCAGAGGAACAGAAAGACAGGCCAUUGAAAGUUGAAGGCAAGUAGGAGAAAUAUUUGCAAAUUACAAAUGAAAAGAUCAAGUUUUUUUUUAAGAAAACAAAAGAAGAACUAAAAGCAGAACAGGAUCAGAGAUAAUGGGAACUGCAGAUGCUGGAGAAUCCAAGAUAACAAAGUGUGAAGCUGGAUGAACACAGCAGGCCAAGCAGCAUCUCAGGAGCACAAAAGCUGACAUUUCGGGCCUAGACCCUUCAUCAGAGAGAACAGAAUCGACUUGAUGCAACUCAGUUCAGAAUAUAAUGAAUUCUGCUGAAUAUUGAAAGGUAUUUUAUACCACAGAAAGAUAGGAAUAA